GAUACCAUGAGAGUCGAGCGGUAACAGGGGUAGCUUGCUACCCGCUGACGAGCGGCGGACGGGUGAGUAAUGCAUAGGAAUCUGCCCGGUAGUGGGGGAUAACCUGGGGAAACCCAGGCUAAUACCGCAUACGUCCUACGGGAGAAAGGGGGCUCCGGCUCCCGCUAUUGGAUGAGCCUAUGUCGGAUUAGCUAGUUGGUGAGGUAAAGGCUCACCAAGGCAACGAUCCGUAGCUGGUCUGAGAGGAUGAUCAGCCACAUCGGGACUGAGACACGGCCCGAACUCCUACGGGAGGCAGCAGUGGGGAAUAUUGGACAAUGGGGGCAACCCUGAUCCAGCCAUGCCGCGUGUGUGAAGAAGGCCCUCGGGUUGUAAAGCACUUUCAGCGAGGAAGAACGCCUAGUGGUUAAUACCCAUUAGGAAAGACAUCACUCGCAGAAGAAGCACCGGCUAACUCCGUGCCAGCAGCCGCGGUAAUACGGAGGGUGCAAGCGUUAAUCGGAAUUACUGGGCGUAAAGCGCGCGUAGGUGGCU
rnacentral:rRNA from 1 species